rnacentral:rRNA from 1 species
GACAGAGGGUGCAAACGUUGUUCGGAAUUACUGGGCGUAAAGCGCGUGUAGGCGGCAGCGUGUGUCGGGCGUGAAAUCCCACGGCUCAACCGUGGAAGUGCACUCGAAGCUGCGCAGCUAGAGUCCUGGAGAGGAAGGUGGAAUGCUUGGUGUAGAGGUGAAAUUCGUAGAUAUCAAGCGGAACACCGGUGGCGAAGGCGGCCUUCUGGACAGUGACUGACGCUGAGACGCGAAAGCGUGGGGAGCAAACAGG